rfam:Clostridium proteolyticum DSM 3090 genome assembly, contig: EJ39DRAFT_scaffold00002.2
UGGGCAGUAUCUUUAUUGGAAGAACUACACUAAAAAUUGUUUAUUAUUUUUUAUAUCUUUGCCUGUAUCCACUUAACUGGAACAGGACAAAACU